rnacentral:rRNA from 1 species
GACGAACGCUGGCGGCGUGCUUAACACAUGCAAGUCGAACGGAAAGGCCCUGCUUUUGUGGGGUGCUCGAGUGGCGAACGGGUGAGUAACACGUGAGUAACCUGCCCUUGACUUUGGGAUAACUUCAGGAAACUGGGGCUAAUACCGGAUAGGAGCUCCUGCUGCAUGGUGGGGGUUGGAAAGUUUCGGCGGUUGGGGAUGGACUCGCGGCUUAUCAGCUUGUUGGUGGGGUAGUGGCUUACCAAGGCUUUGACGGGUAGCCGGCCUGAGAGGGUGACCGGCCACAUUGGGACUGAGAUACGGCCCAGACUCCUACGGGAGGCAGCAGUGGGGGAUAUUGCACAAUGGGCGGAAGCAUGAUGCAGCAACGCCGCGUGCGGGAUGACGGCCUUCGGGUUGUAAACCGCUUUCGCCUGUGACGAAGCGUGAGUGACGGUAAUGGGUAAAGAAGCACCGGCUAACUACGUG